AAAAAAUAACAAUUAAGUAGGAGGCACGUCUUGUGACUCGCACAAUCUCUCCUAACGCCCGAGUUCAAUUUUACACAACAUUUAAUACAAAUAUUAAAAAUCAAUAUAUCAAGGGGGCUGUUAAUGAAAUGUUACAGGGAGUGCGUGCCGCCACAUAGGAUUCGGUGGGAACGCGUGUGAUGCAGCCGGAGCGGGACGCGGCCGUCCGCUUCAUCCCCCCGCUAAAAAACAAAAGAUAAAGGUGUUCAUUAAAUCAUAUCGAAUCGAAUUAAACUCUAUCGCCGGGGCCUUCCAGCAGAACGGGAGCCUGAAAAGCAGGGGACGGAGGAUGAAUCUCAACUCGGCUCCCGACGACGGAACGGGGAUCGGAACGCGUUACGGAUAAAUCGGAGCGCCGCCGUAGGUCACGACGCGACGAUAGGACGGUGCGGGAAUCUCGGGACGGGCAGAGGGCCGGCGGCUGCCCGCAGGCCGCCCAUUGGGAAGAUCCGUGCUGGCUCUCAGGGGAUUCAAAUCGGCCCUUAAUGCGGGGUAGCUCCUAACGUGGGCGCAGCUGAGCAGGGCACGGCGAUGGAGCAGCUUACGCUUAAUGCUGCUGCAGACCUCAGCCUUAAGGAACAGCCUUGUCCUGAGCACGCAGCGUGCCGGCAUGAAGGUGCCGUGCCGAAGGAGGUUAGGAGCGCUGGAGAGGAAUAGCUGUAAUGGAAGUGGCAGUGUGAGCAGUCCUGGCAAGCGGGGUAAAUCCUCCGGUCUCUGGAUGAUUUGUUAAGUGUUUUGCAAAUAUAUAUACAUAUUGCAGAUAUAUGUUCUGUGUGUGCGAGUAACCAGUAACACGUGUAUGGCAGAUGGGACAGAUAACUACAUGGUUGUGGCUCUCCCGGGACGUUUACGUUCACAGAAAAAAGCCACUUGGGAUUUAUCCCUCUCACCUCACGCCCCAGCAUCACUUUAACCCCUCUAACGCUGCACUGUUACCAUUUAAGUCAUCACUGGGUCUGGCUCAGCCCCAGGGGAAGGGAAGCAGAAAUGCAGAGCAACGUUUCCCAGCUUCCUGAGCUCCAGAGAGGACCUCAACCUCCGUGAAAACAAACAAAUACAUGAAAUGGACCUUCAUGUUUCCUAUUUUGCCAGUAGAGAGCACGAGGAGAAUAACUGCAGAAUCAUCGUAGAAUCACAGAAUCGCUGAAGUUGGAAAAGACCUCUAAGCUCACCCAGUCCAACCGGCAGCCCAUCACACCAUGCCCACUGCCCAUGGCCCUCAGUGCCACAUCCACACGGCUCUGGAACACCUCCAGGGACGGUGACUCCACCACCUUUAUGGGCAGCCUGUGCCACUGCCUCACCGCUCUUGCUGAGAAGGAAUGUUUGAACUCAGGAGGUGGGUCCUGGUCCCCUACUUCCAACCCAGCCAAACUCACAGGCACAUUUGCUGUGCUCGAAUGGAAAUCUACAUUUUAGCUUCCCAGUUAAUGGGUUUUGAGUUUAAAUAUUGAAAAUUGCAUUCUUACCAGCAGCAAGAAAUGCUUCAGGGAAGCGGUGGUAGCUUUGCUGGCCGUGUUCUUACGAAUCCAUCCAUGUGCAACAGGUGACAAACACCUGCCUGCAGUCUCUGUCCCUGGUGCAUCCCUGCAGCCUGCAGCUGGCUGUGCUGGUGGUGCGACCCCCUGCAGCCAGCCCCCAAAGGAAGUGCAAAGCCUGGUGAUCUCUGCACCUCUGGGCUAUGAAUGGGCACAGAGCAGUUUUGUUUCCAUCCUGGGAAUAGGGGGAUUAAAAUGACCCUAUCUCCUGGUUGCAUUUAUUUAUUUAUUUUUAACUUGGGCCCUAUGUAAACAGUACUCUAG
ensembl:lncRNA